CCAUGCUCUGUUAAAAUGGAUAAGAAUCCGUUAAUACUUCAGUGUAGGCUAAAAGUCACUAUAAUCCACAAAAGCAUGUAAAGACAUGUGAAUGGAGAGGAAAUCAGUAACAUCAAGAUUUUACCUCUGUAGGCCUCUCAGGCUCCCUCUCAGACACCACAGAGAAGGCAGCAGACAUUGUGGUCCCAUCAUCUUCAUCAUCCUGUUUAGAGUGUUGUGUUUCACUAUGCUGUACUUUAAAUAUGGCAUCAUCUCUGGACUAUUGGCUACUUACAGUUAAAGUGGCACAUGGAUCCACUAGACCAAGUACGCCUUCAGAAUCUGUUGAGACAAAAGAAAAACACAUGAAAGGGAAAUUAACAUUGAACUAUAGGCCCAAAAGAAGUUUGAGGCCUAGGCCUAUUGCAUCUUAUCAAGGCUGGUGGCUCCUGUGUAAUCAUGUCCGAGGAUGAGGUUCCUCCAGGGAUCCCCUCUGCGACUGGCCUCCCGACAGUCUGACUCAUGGCCAGCUCCUCUGCCUCGGUCAGACGUGGUGGGGGUGGUCCUCCGCCAGUUUUGCGGGCAGAUGCCCGCUUUCUGUUGGCUGAGUAGAAGUUAGAUGUUGCUUUUCAUAUGUCUGAUUUAACUGUAUACAGGCGAGGACAUUUAUGUGUGUGAAAACAAUAUUAUGUUGGAGAUAAUGCACACUGAAACAGCUGCUGAAUGAUAUUUAGUGGUAAACAUGAUUAAAAAGAGGCACCCUGACUGUUAUGCUGAGGGCUUACCUGUUUGAACAAUGUUUUUAUAUUUCAUCUUCAGCUGCUUCCACGUUCUUUUUUCGCCGGUGGGAUUACAUCUAAGUGACAUAAAUUGUAGCUAUAACACCAUUCUACUUGUUUGCAUCUGUAGCCUAAUAUUAUUGUGAUUACAUAAAUGUAUAUAAUAAAUUUAAACUUACGCAUUGACUCGAGCAGUAAUCUUCUCCCACGCCGACUCGCGUUCUUUCGCUGCUGCAGCCGUGUUGCUUUUCUUUUUAAAAACGCUUUCAAUGUUGCUUUUCUUUUUAAAAACGCUUUCAAAUUUGCCGUAUGACCGCAUUAAUAUAUCCAGUUCCAGAGGACUGAAAUACGACGAUCUUUUCUUCUCACUCGUUGCCAUGGUGAAUCGAGGGAACGGGGCUCCAUUGAUCAGGGCUUUUUAAAGUCGUGGUGCACGCGCUUAACUCAGAGUGAACAAACUCUGUGUUGAUUGAACCAAUUGAAAUCACCUGUUCUGAAACCCGUAAGUCAGAGUUUCCUGUCUCAGAGUAGAUCAACUCAGAGUUCAGGGUUAGACUCCAGAGUUGGUUGAACCUGCUUCUUGAAACGGGGCCCAGCUAUGUGCGAUAUGAUGCACAGAGUAAGGUGGUUUGUUUAACACCAAGUAGUGAUGUUUAGCUUAGUAGUGUAUGUGUGUGUGUGUAUCCAGAGAUCUUCUCUACCGCCUCUGUUACCAUGCCAACCAACCGGAUCUGCCUUUUGUUGUGCUAGAAAGGCGCCACUCAGCCAUGUAAUUGAAAUCCUGCUAAGAGAGUGAUACGUAGACCCACAUCAGUCAUUGAUGUGUCAGUCAUCCCUGGAGUCAACCGACACCAUUGCAAAGUAUUCAGCUAUAAAAGCGAUAUAAAGGAAGAUACUUCUUGGGGUCCCCCAGAAAAGGAGACGAAGGAGGCUGGUUGUAGUGACCCAUCAGGAAGAUCCCUAUGGUACCAAUGAAAAAGACCAGAGCCAUGACAAUGAAGCAGAUUCUGUCGAUUACCCUGGCGACCAGGAACCACUCUUCAUUCUCCUGCAGGAUGACAAUUACGACAGCAGUGUCGCUGGUUUCGGAGGAGGCGUCAUUGGGCGCCCAGGGCUGCAUUCGCAUCCUCAGCAGUCGAG